rnacentral:antisense_RNA from 1 species
UGGGAGGGGGGCUUGCCCCCGAUGACAGCCUGUCAGUGAUGACUCUGUUGGCUGAUCCACCGCUAUCGGGGGCAAGCCCCCUCCCAC